rnacentral:rRNA from 1 species
AUUGAACGCUGGCGGCAGGCCUAACACAUGCAAGUCGAGCGAGCGGCGGACGGGUGAGGAAUGUAUGGGGACUGCCCGAUAGAGGGGGAUAACUACUGGAAACGGUAGCUAAUACCGCAUACUACCGGAUAAGCCAUAUGGGAUUAGCUAGUAGGUGAGGUAAUGGCUCACCUAGGCGACGAUCCCUAGCUGGUCUGAGAGGAUGAUCAGCCCCCCUGGCACUUCGACACGUCCCAGACUCCCACGGAGGCAGCAGUGGGUAAUAUUGCAAAAUGGGCGCAAGCCUUAUGCAGCCAUGCCGCGUGUAUGAAGAAGGCCCUAGGGUUGUAAAGGACUUUCAGUCGGGAGACUUUCCCGACAGGAGAAGCACCUGCUAACUCCGUGCCAGCCCCCGCGGUACUUC